rnacentral:rRNA from 1 species
UACAGAGGGCUCAAGCGUUGUUCGGAUUCAUUGGGCGUAAAGGGUGCGUAGGCGGCGCGGCAAGUCGGGUGUGAAAUCUCGGGGCUUAACUCCGAAACUGCAUUCGAUACUGCCGUGCUUGAGGACUGGAGAGGAGACUGGAAUUUACGGUGUAGCGGUGAAAUGCGUAGAUAUCGUAAGGAAGACCAGUGGCGAAGGCGGGUCUCUGGACAGGUCCUGACGCUGAGGAGCGAAAGCGUGGGUAGCGAACAGG